CCUACGGGAGGCAGCAGUGAGGAAUCUUGGUCAAUGGGCGGAAGCCUGAACCAGCCAAGUCGCGUGAGGGAAUAAGGCCCUACGGGUCGUAAACCUCUUUUGCCGGGGAGCAAGGGCGGGGACGUGUCCCGGCACGGAGAGUAUCCGGAGAAAAAGCAUCGGCUAACUACGUGCCAGCAGCCGCGGUAAUACGGAGGAUGCGAGCGUUAUCCGGUGUUAUUGGGUUUAAAGGGUGCGUGGGCGGGCUUUUAAGUCGGCGGUAAAAAUUCGGGGCUCAACCCCGUCCGGCCUUUGAAACUGGGGGCCUUGAGUGGGCGAGAAGAAGGCGGAAUGCGUGGUGUAGCGGGGAAAUGCAUAGAUAUCACGCAGAACCCCGAUUGCGAAGGCAGCCGUCCGGCGCCCUACUGACGCUGAGGCACGAAAGUGCGGGGAUCGAACAGGAUUAGAUACCCCUGUAGUC
rnacentral:rRNA from 1 species